UUUUUUUUUUUUUAAAUUUUUGAGAUGGAGUCUCACUCUGUCACUCAGGCUGCAGUGCAACGCCCGAUGCCCUGCUGGUCUAGCCCCUGCCUACCUCCCCAGCCUGGGGCAGCACCACCAUCCCUCUCACCCACAGUGUGAGCUCCAGCCACCCCGCUUUCUUUGAUUUCGCAGAGAAGACAGGUCUACUCAGAACCCUUUCCCAUACUUUCCCUCUGUGUAGAAUGCCCACCCUUCCUUUCUUCCAGCCUUCCUUCCUCCCUUUCCCUUCCUCCCACCGACUCUCACUCAUCCUCCACAUCUUAACUCAAAUGUCACCUUCCCAAGGAAACUUCCCAGACCAGAUCAGAUCUCCCUACUAAAGAUUCAAGGUUUUUGUGAUCAUUUCUUUCAUAGUACUGAGAGUUGAUAAUAAGAUAAUUGAUUCUUUGAUCAAUCUCUGUGUCCUCAUGAUACUCUAAGCUCCAUGAAGAUAGCGUUUUUUUCACCCCUCAUCCCUGGCAUAGUAACUGGCACAUAGCAGGUGCCUGGUAAAUAUUUGUUGAUCGAUGGAAUUAGAGAGAAAAAUUAUUGUAGAAAAAAAUGUGAUCCCAGUGAAUGGUUCUGGAGAUCAAAUGUCCCUUUUCCAGGAAAGUGGGAUGGGCUAGGGAGACACGGGAUAGGAUGUUUGUGUGUGAGUGGUGGAGGCUGCAGCGGAAAAGGGUUUGUCUGGGAUCAGAGGCCAGGAGCUGGCAGCUCCACCGGCUGCAUGGGAAACAUGAUUAUAGUGUCAGGAGGGAUUAAUGGAGUGGAGCAAAGGAGGUGGUUCCUGGCAGAGCCCUUCCCAGAUCAGAUGCAUAUGGAAUUUGAAACCUGGAGGGAGGAAGAGGAAAACGCAGUUGUUGGCAACAGCCACAGCAAAAAUCACCAACGUUUCUCUGGGGUGUAGGCUCCUCCAGGCUGCUGCACCCACAUGUGAGAGGCCUUUGUCAUUUCAUGGGACACACAGCACCUUUUUAGUUUUAGGGAAAUUCCCACAGCAUGCGUCUUUCUGGGAGGCGGCCAAAUUUGUCUUUCAAACCUGGUUCUCCAGCCUUCGUGGUGGGUCUCAAUGCUACCCAAUAUCCUUAAAUAAAUUCCUUUUCCGUUAAGUCAGCCAAAAUGAGUUUUUCUUGUUUGCAGCCAAGAACCAUAACUGGUUUAGUCUGGGGCCAGCAGGGAAGUGACGUUUGGCUUCUCCACAUAGCCAAGCACGUGGGCGCCACGCAUGCAGAUGCUCCAAGAGUGGACAGGGCCGCCUUGGCAGCCUGAAAGUUAGGGGCUCCUUAGGAAUGGGGCAGGGGAAAGGUGACCAUUUGGAGCCAGGAAGAGUCUUUAGAGGGACUUGGGUGGAGGCCACACCAGAGAAAUCGUUCUAUUGUUGAGACAUGUCCGUGGGCGGGACACCUGGUACACCCCAGACUGGGGCCUGGGAAGCACCUUUCACUCAGAAGCCCAAGAAUCCACAGCUGGCUCACCGCCUCGUGGGAAUGUAAACCCCAGCCCUCCCGGGUCUUCUGGUACUUGUCGCGCUUUUCCUGAACAGACUGCACUCUAGUAUCUGUUCAAGGUAUUUUUCCACUUCCAUGACCCUGAGUCCACUACAAAGACGAAAACACGG
ensembl:lncRNA